CCUACGGGAGGCAGCAGUGAGGGAUAUUGGUCAAUGGGGGGAACCCUGAACCAGCAACGCCGCGUGAGGGAAGACGGUUCUCGGAGUGUAAACCUCUGUCCUCUGUGAAGAUGAUGACGGUAGCAGAGGAGGAAGCCCCGGCUAACUACGUGCCAGCAGCCGCGGUAAUACGUAGGGGGCAAGCGUUAUCCGGAUUUACUGGGUGUAAAGGGUGCGUAGGUGGCAGUGCAAGUCAGAAGUGAAAGCCCGGGGCUCAACCCCGGUACUGCAUUUGUAACUGUCCAGCUGGAGUGCAGGAGAGGUAAGCGGAAUUCCUAGUGUAGCGGUGAAAUGCGUAGAUAGUAGGAGGAACACCAGUGGCGAAGGCGGCUUACUGGACUGUAACUGACACUGAGGCACGAAAGCGUGGGGAGCAAACAGGAUUAGAUACCCGGGUAGUC
rnacentral:rRNA from 1 species